UUAAUUCUUGUAGGAACAAGGUUUUUUUUUAUUAUUAUUUCAUGUUUAAAAAGCCAUUCCAUCUCAUUGAACUCAUAUCAAUCUGAAAAAUGUGGGUCCACAGUUUGAAAUAGACAAGUGUUUUGGUUUUCACCUUAGUAACGUUGGACCAAUGUUAGACUAUUAACUCAUUUGACAGUCAAUGCAAUAGGUGCAAUUAAGACAGUGUACUACUAGCUGCAUUUCCACUUUCCACUUUGUUGUACAAAAGCAGUAACUGCAUACAUUCAAAACAACAAUAAAUACAAAUGUAGCCCGGGCUAAAAUAACAUUAGGUUGUAAAUAAGUUUAUCUGUUCAAUAACUAAAUAAAUAAAUACAUAAUAAAUAAGUUAUUUUCAUUGAAAAGGUAAAUUUGACUGUGAUUCAUAAGUUUGUAAUAUUAUUUGUAACUAUUUCUUUUCAUUUGUCAUACAUUUCUGUAAAGCUUGUCAAUUGGUUGCCUGCUCCUCUGUCAUAACAGUCGUCCAAUCGUGAGAUACCGGGGUGGGACAUGCAGUUGGCAGGUUAGAUCUAUAUGGAUAGACUGAGAGGACGUCAGAUUGACGACAUGGGUGAUUUGCUGUAAUGCCAGAGUAUUGUUCUCUUGCCAGGAUAGAUGCAGGGUUUGUCAACGGUACAUGGACAUACAAAAGAGUACAGGACCAGAAUAAAGUUCUUGGACCUUGUUUGCCCUCGGAGCACUGAGCUCCAGGUAUCGGCAGUGAGUGAGAAGCUACUGGGUCAAGGCCGCGGUCACGGGUUUUCUGUUUCACACACACACCACACGCUAACUGAGGACGGACAGUGUGAGCAACCCAAUUGCAGGUGCAGUUAUUUAUUUUUAUUUUACUUAUCUGAGUGAAGCGGUCACUGAGCUUUGACCUCACUGAAUCCGAGCAUCGAAUCGGGCCUGCAUCUUUUUUUAUUUCAAAGACUCUUUAGAUUUUAAGUAUGGUGUGAAUAUAAUCAUUGGUUUGGCCAUUGAACUGUUUUUUUAUUUCAAAAAUAUGAAUGUUGCUGAAAGAUCUGUGAAAAUAUGUGAACACGUAACAAGUGCUAAGCUUGGGUUGUGUGUAAUACACUUAUGUUAUUUUAA